rnacentral:rRNA from 1 species
AGCGCGCGACAUCUUAUAUUUGAAAUCUAGACCUCGGGUCCGAGUUGUAAUUUGUAGAGGAUGCUUUUGGUGCAGUGCCUUCUGAGUUCCUUGGAACAGGAUAUCUCCCCGGUGAGAGCCCCGUACGGUUGGACACUAACCCUCUGUAAAGCUCCUUCGACGAGUCGAGUAGUUUGGGAAUGCUGCUCUAAAUGGGAGGUAAAUUUCUUCUAAAGCUAAAUACCGGCCAGAGACCGAUAGCGCACAAGUAGAGUGAUCGAAAGAUGAAAAGUACUUUGAAAAGAGGGUUAAAUAGCACGUGAAAUUGUUGAAAGGGAAGCGUUUAUGACCAGACCUUUGCCAGGCGGAUCAUCCGGUGUUCUUCACCGGUGCACUUCGCCUGGCUCAGGCCAGCAUCGAUUUUCGUAGGGGGAUAAAGGCCCUGGGAACGUAGCUCUCUUCGGGGAGUGUUAUAGCCCUGGGGUGUAAUACCCUUAUGGGGAUCGAGCGUUC